CACCCUCCUGGCCUCCCACGGGCGAGAGGAUGCUUCAUGGAAGGCCCGGGGCAAGAUGAGCUUUCCUCUCUCUUGAAGAAAUGUGGGACUGAACCAGGAUUGUGAACACGGCAUGGCUAUAGGGGGGCUGGGGUUCUCCGACCCGCACCUUUCCUGCUUGAAGCCAACCUCCCGCCAUCAACGCAUGUACUGAAAGCAGAAUUUGUCUUCUGAAACCUCCUGGGCCAAGAUUUCCCCAAAUUGCUGGCAUAUUAAAACGAAGCCGCCAUGUGAAAUACCGAGCGGGGAUCCAAGGCCACAGUCAAGUUCACCUGCCCCACCUGUCUCUAAGCCAUGCCCCUGGCCUCCACACUCAUCACUGGGGGCGACCUCUCCGUUCUGGGGAAAAAUCCUUAUUACUGAAAUGGCUCCUUUAUAACCUUCUCCUUGAUCUGGGAUAUCAGCUUCUCACCAUCUAACUCUGGG